GUUGGGCACAGUGGCAUGCACCUGUAGUCCUGACUACUUGGAGGAUGAGGAGGGAGGAUCAUUUGAGCCUAGGAGUUCAAGACUAGCCUGGGCAACAUAGUGAGACCCCAUCUCCA
rnacentral:sRNA from 1 species